rnacentral:rRNA from 1 species
GGCAGCGAUCAUACCAGCACUAAUGCACCGGAUCCCAUCAGAACUCCGCAGUUAAGCGUGCUUGGGCGAGAGUAGUACUAGGAUGGGUGACCCCUUGGGAAGUCCUCGUGUUGCAACCC